CUCUCAUGAAACGCGAAGGGGUACUCGGUCAGAAGACGACAAAGGACGGGAAGCGGGAAGCAGGGAACAGAAGAAUGAAUAAGAAGGAAAACAGUGCUCGCUCACGUAGACGCCAGAACGUGUGUUUCGAAAUGCGAGAGGAUGCCAACCGAGACGAGAUCAAAAGUCUUUCGUCCGUGACAUCAAAAUCUAAAUUUCAAGAUUGUAUAUAGCUCCGGCUCGUAACGAGGGAGUUCAAAUUCCGAAAACGAGACGUCGCCGUAUAAUUUCAAUCGCGUCAUCGACUGGACGACAUCGCGCGAUGUCCUCCCGCUCCCGGCCCUCCUCGUAGACACCCCCAAUGGAUCGCGCUUAAAUCUGGAGUAAGUGCGCGGCCGCCGUGGAGCGCACUUUUUGUGCUUGAGCUUGAGCUUGCGGCGGGAAGGCUCUGCGCAACGACGCGAGGAAAAUAAUUUUCCGGUGAGGAGGCCCGAGACAAGAGAGAGAGAGAGAGAGACCUGAGUUACGCGGAUCCGCCAUGCCUGGACGCCCACUCUGGCAGGUAAGUGACGCGUCAUUUCUCGA